rnacentral:rRNA from 1 species
CCUACGGGGGGCAGCAGUAGGGAAUCUUCCACAAUGGGCGAAAGUCUGAUGGAGCAACGCCGCGUGGGUGAAGAAGGUCUUCGGAUCGUAAAACUCUGUUGUUAGAGAAGUAAGUGCGUGAGAGUAACUGUUCACGUUUCGACGGCAUCUAACCAGAAAGCCACGGCUAACUACGUGCCAGCAGCCGCGGUAAUACGUAGGUGGCAAGCGUUAUCCGUAUUUAUUGGGCGUAAAGGGAACGCAGGCGGUCUUUUAAGUCUGAUGUGAAAGCCUGCGGCUUAACCGGAGUAGUGCAUUGGAAACUGGGGGACUUGAGUGCAGAAGAGGAGGGUGGAACUCGAUGUGUAGCGGUGAAAUGCGUAGAUAUAAGGAAGAACACCAGUGGCGAAAGCGGCUCUCUGGUCUGUAACUGACGCUGAGGUUCGAAGGUGUGGGUAGCAAACAGGAUUAGAUACCCCGGUAGUC